UGCUCAAGCGUCACAAAUCAUUUAGGAGGACUCACACACCCACCCACCUGCACACACCAGACUACCAGAGAAAUCAAAGUCCAAACAAAAAUACAUCAAUCAGAGCAUGGUUGUUUAAAAUAGGGCCAAACCAGGCACCAGCUCAGGAGAAAUUGAUGGCACAAUUGAGGAAAGCUGAAGGAAAAGAAGGAAUCAAAGAGAAGGAG
rnacentral:misc_RNA from 1 species